rnacentral:rRNA from 1 species
UCGAGAAUCUUCGGCAAUGGGCGAAAGCCUGACCGAGCGACGCCGCGUGCGGGAUGAAGGUCUUCGGAUUGUAAACCGCUGUCAGAGGGGAUGAAGUCAUAGAGGGUUCUCCUUUUAUGUUGACAGAGCCUCAGAGGAAGCACGGGCUAAGUAUGUGCCAGCAGCCGCGGUAAUACAUACUGUGCGAACGUUAUUCGGAUUCACUGGGCUUAAAGGGUGCGUAGGCGGCUUGUUAAGUAGGGUGUGAAAGCCCCCAGCUCAACUGGGGAACUGCAUUCUAUACUGGUGAGCUAGAGUGAGAUAGGGGUGUGUGGAACUGCCAGUGGAGCGGUGAAAUGUGUUGAUAUUGGCAGGAACGCCGGUGGCGAAAGCGACACACUGGGUCUCAACUGACGCUGAGGCACGAAAGCCAGGGGAGCGAACGGGAUUAGAUACCCCGGUAGUCCCUGAGCGGGCUGGCAAGGCGCAU